rnacentral:rRNA from 1 species
GACGAACGCUGGCGGCGUGCUUAACACAUGCAAGUCGAACGGAAAGGCCCCUUUGGGGGUACUCGAGUGGCGAACGGGUGAGUAACACGUGAGUAACCUGCCCUUGACUUCGGGAUAACUUCAGGAAACUGGGGCUAAUACCGGAUAGGAAUCCUUGCUGCAUGGUGGGGGUUGGAAAGCUUCGGCGGUUUUGGAUGGACUGGCGGCUUAUCAGCUUGUUGGUGGGGUAGUGGCUUACCAAGGCUUUGACGGGUAGCCGGCCUGAGAGGGCGACCGGCCACAUUGGGACUGAGAGACGGCCCAGACUCCGACGGGAGGCAGCAGUGGGGAAUAUUGCACAAUGGGCGGAAGCCUGAUGCAGCAACGCCGCGUGCGGGAUGACGGCCUUCGGGUUGUAAACCGCUUUCAGCAGGGGCGAAGCUUGUGGUGACGGUACCUGCAGAAGAAGCACCGGCUAACUACGUG